rnacentral:rRNA from 1 species
GACGAACGCUGGCGGCGUGCUUAACACAUGCAAGUCGAACGGAAAGGCCCUGCUUUUGUGGGGUGCUCGAGUGGCGAACGGGUGAGUAACACGUGAGUAACCUGCCCUUGACUUUGGGAUAACUUCAGGAAACUGGGGCUAAUACCGGAUAGGAGCUCCUGCUGCAUGGUGGGGGUUGGAAAGUUUCGGCGGUUGGGGAUGGACUCGCGGCUUAUCAGCUUGUUGGUGGGGUAGUGGCUUACCAAGGAUUUGACGGGUAGCCGGCCUGAGAGGGUGACCGGCCACAUUGGGACUGAGAUACGGCCCAGACUCCUACGGGAGGCAGCAGUGGGGAAUAUUGCACAAUGGGCGGAAGCCUGAUGCAGCAAGGCCGCGUGCGGGAUGACGGCCUUCGGGUUGUAAACCGCUUUCGCCUGUGACGAAGCGUGAGUGACGGUAAUGGGUAAAGAAGCACCGGCUAACUACGUG